AGGACGAACGCUGGCGGCGUGCUUAACACAUGCAAGUCGAGCGGAAAGGCCCUUCGGGGUACUCGAGCGGCGAACGGGUGAGUAACACGUGAGCAACCUGCCCUUAGCUCUGGGAUAGCUCCGGGAAACCGGAAUUAAUACCGGAUACGACCUAGGCCGACAUCGGCCAUGGUGGAAAGUUUUUUCGGCUAGGGAUGGACUCGCGGCCUAUCAGCUAGUUGGUGGGGUAAAGGCCUACCAAGGCGACGACGGGUAG
rnacentral:rRNA from 1 species